rnacentral:rRNA from 1 species
GACGUAGGGGGCGAGCGUUGUCCGGAUUUAUUGGGCGUAAAGGGUGCGUAGGCGGGUCUUUAAGUCAGGGGUGAAAUCCUGGAGCUCAACUCCAGAACUGCCUUUGAUACUGAAGAUCUUGAGUUCGGGAGAGGUGAGUGGAACUGCGAGUGUAGAGGUGAAAUUCGUAGAUAUUCGCAAGAACACCAGUGGCGAAGGCGGCUCACUGGCCCGAUACUGACGCUGAGGCACGAAAGCGUGGGGAGCAAACAGG